GCGGUUUCAUUUGUCUGUUUUGUUUUUAAAUAGGUAGAUCAUAUAGUAAAUUUUUUUUUUUUUAAAGGAUCUAACUUUUUUUUCCUAAAUAUUAAUUUAUAAAUAUAAAUAACUUGUUUAUGUUAAUUUAUAAAUAUAAAUUGUUCUAUCUUAUCCACUCUAAAAGCAAAUUAAUUCAAAUAUAUUUUUAAUAAGAAUUUUUAUAAUCAAUUAUAAAUUUUAGGAAAAAAAAAUACACUGACAAU
rnacentral:lncRNA from 1 species